rnacentral:rRNA from 1 species
GACGAACGCUGGCGGCGUGCCUAACACAUGCAAGUCGAACGGGGUAGAAGCCUUCGGGCUUCUGCUUAGUGGCGAACGGGUGAGUAACGCGUGAGAAACCUGCCUUUCAGUGGGGGACAACAGUUGGAAACGACUGCUAAUACCGCAUAAUGUAUUCGGGGGGCAUCCCUUGAAUACCAAAGCUUUAUGUGCUGAAAGAUGGUCUCGCGUCUGAUUAGCUAGAUGGCGGGGUAACGGCCCACCAUGGCGACGAUCAGUAGCCGGUCUGAGAGGAUGAACGGCCGCAUUGGGACUAAGAGCCGGCCCAGACUCCUACGGGAGGCAGCAUUGGGGAAUGUUGGGCAAUGGGGGAAACCCUGACCCAGCAACGCCGCGUGAAGGAAGAAGGCCUUCGGGUUGUAAACUUCUUUUAGCAGGGACGAAGAACGUGACGGUACCUGCAGAAAAAGCAACGGCUAACUACGUGCCAGCCGCCGCAGUAAGAC